rnacentral:tRNA from 3 species
GCCCCCGUAGUUCAAUAGAUAGAACGGAUCCGUCCUAAGGAUUUGAUGUCAGUGCAAUUCUGGCCGGGGGCACCA